rnacentral:lncRNA from 1 species
CAGGUAGAAAACUAUCAUCAACUUUCUUAAGAAGAUUGAAGUCUCCAGUCCCUUCAAGCAAUCUGGGAAAAGUGAUGUUUCUAGAAGGGAAAAGGAAAACCAGGUCCUUGGUCUGAAAGGGUGGCCUCUAUCCCACAAUUCUGACCCUUUUAUUCCCUCCUGAUCCCACUCUCCUUGAGGAGUUUGAUGAUAUAAAAAUACACAGUGUGUAUAAAGAAAGAGAAUGGGGAGGAAGAAAAGGAACCUGCCUUUCUUUAGAAAAGACCACUUCUCUGUUCAGAUGGCCAGAUUUGAAGAAGCCAGAUAUCCACUUUGCUGAUUGUCAAGCAUGGCUUCUGGAGCAGAGGGCCACUCCCCAACAAUCUCAGUGUAGUUUUAGCUCUCGGCUCCUUGGGUAGAAAGAUGGAGAUGGUGCAGAGAUGGGUGGCUCAUUGCUGCUGCUGUGAUACCAUGAUGGGACUAUGGAGGUGGGCAGUUAUUCAGCUCUGGCUCUGUUAUUCAGUGAUAUAAUGAAGGACACAGAUACAUAUGACAAGGCUAUUUUGUUUUUCAUAGCUAACACAAUGUGGUCUCAAGGUGGCUGCCACGGCUCCAGUCAUCAGACCAGGGAAAGUCUUCUCAAGCAAGAAGUCCAAGGGAAAUGGGG